UUUAAAGAGAGUUUGAUCCUGGCUCAGGACGAACGCUGGCGGCGUGCCUAAUACAUGCAAGUCGAACGAACGGAGGAAGAGCUUGCUCUUCCAAAGUUAGUGGCGGACGGGUGAGUAACACGUGGGCAACCUGCCUGUAAGUUGGGGAUAACUCCGGGAAACCGGGGCUAAUACCGAAUGAUAGAGUGUGGCGCAUGCCACGCUUUUGAAAGAUG
rnacentral:rRNA from 1 species